GUGCUCACUUUGGCAGCACAUGCACUAAAAUUGGAAAGAUAUAAAGAAGAUUAGCAUGGCCCCCUGCACAAGGAUGACAUGUAAAUUCAUGAAAUGUUCCAUAUUUUU
ensembl:snRNA U6 U6 spliceosomal RNA